rnacentral:siRNA from 1 species
AGGAUGGACAACAAACCGAUGCG